UGCAGACAUUUGAAAGCGUAAAGGGAGGGUGGAGGAUGUCUUUUUUUCUCUCUCUCUCCCUCCUCUCUCUCUCUCUCUCUCCUCUCUCUCUCUCUCUCUCUCUUUCCCUCUCCUGAAUUAUUCAUAGUGUCAGUGGUGAAGCCAGGACUAUUAGCAUGCAUCAGACAUGCUGUUUGUCUGUUUGCUAACAUUCUUCAUUCAAGACUUGUUAACUACCAGACAAGCUUAACACGCUUCUCUUUUUUCCCCUCCCCUUCCCUCUCCCUGUGUCUCUGUCUCUGCGCGCCUGCCUCCCCUCAUUUCUGCCUUCCCUUGCCUUGCCUUUCAUGCCACCCCUCUCAGCCUCCCAUUGUUGUUGCCGAGAGCUGGCAGCCAGGGGUGGCGGUGGCAGGGGAAGCAUGCGGACGAGGAGCCGGAGCCCGGUUGCUAGCAUACUAGCCUGGAUGCAAUCUCCCUGUAAGGAGUGUGAAAUGUACAGCUGCAAAACUACAGUUUUAAGCAAAAAAAAAGCUCUUCCUCAUCUGAACCAUCAUUCAAAACACAAGAUGAAAGUAGCUGAAGAAAAGUUGUUUAUGAUAUCAUCUGCAGGACUCCUAGAAAAUUCUUUGGAAACUUGGGCAUGUCUGUCUCAGGCUGCCCCUAAAAGAAAUGAAGUAUUAAUCUGGCAAGAUGAAAUCAAGAUGCACAAAGAGAAGAUAUUAGAGACUAUUCUGCAAGGUGUUCAGAGGAGAACAGUAAAUGGAAAGGAAACACCUCCGAAGGAAUAGAAAGCCAUCAUAACAGGGGAGUAAAGACAAGAGGAAUGAAGAUAUAACAAAAUGCCAUGGGCAAUGCAUGGCUGGCAGUGAAAGAUGGAAGCCACCAGAGGAAGUGUUCAGAGGUAGCUCGUGGUGGUGAUGCCAGGAGAGGUAAAAGGUGGGAGUUAUUAUUCCCACAGUGGGUUCCAGUUGAGCAGAAAUCAAAAGGAAAUUGUUAGGAUCAAUGCAUAGAGAAAAUGCUACUGUUCAUCAAGACAUCAUAAAAAGACAUCAUAAAAACACCAUUAUGAGAUUGGCGUGGGCCAGAAAUGGCCAGAUUUGUUGUAUGAAAACGAUCACUGAUUGCUGCAUUUUCAGAUGAAGUAGGAAAUCAGUUUAUUUCUAAAUCAGAUUGGCAGAAUACCAUUUGUUAUUUAAAAAAAAAAAAUACAAUAACCUAACCAAAACCCUCAAAUACACACUUUUAAAGUCGGUGAUUUUAUGAAUCUUCCAGUGGGCUUGUAUGUCAUGUAUAUACUCAUAGUUAGUACCGAUACAGUAGACAUAUCUUAACACAGAAUACUUAAGUAAUUCUGUUUUCUUUCUUGAAGGUGUUUACUGCAUUUCAGGCAGGUUAAAGCUGGGUGUUUUUCUGGCUCUUGGGACUGACAUUCAGCUUUCCUAUUAUGUCUUAUUAAAGGCUCUGUCAAGUUUGAAAAUCAUCCAAGUUAAAAUAAAAACAGUGUCUAUAGAGAGGGACA
rnacentral:lncRNA from 1 species